rnacentral:rRNA from 1 species
UUAGUCUCUUAAUUGGAGGCUUGUAUGAAUGGUUGGACAAGAAGCAAACUGUCUCAAAUACAAUAAUUGAAUUUGACUUUUAAGUGAAAAGGCUUAAAUAUUUUAAAGGGACGAUAAGACCCUAUAAAGCUUAAUAAUUUAGUAUAUAAUUAGAUGAGUUAAAAGUUUAAUAUUAUUUAUAUACUGAAUUAUUUCGUUGGGGCGACGAUGAUAUAAUUUGUAACUGUUUAAAUCUAAAAUACAGAGAUAUUUGUGUGUAAUGAUCCUUGUUGUUGAUUAAAAAUUUAAGUUACUUUAGGGAUAACAGCGUUAUUUAUUUUGAGAGUUCAUAUCGACAAAAAAGUUUGCGACCUCGAUGUUGAAUUAAAAAUUCGCCAUGGCGUA